rnacentral:rRNA from 1 species
AGUGAACGCUGGCGGCAGGCCUAAUACAUGCAAGUCGAACGGCAGCACAGUGGAGCUUGCUCCAUGGGUGGCGAGUGGCGGACGGGUGAGGAAUACAUGGGAAUCUGCCCAGUCGUGGGGGAUAACGUAUGGAAACGUACGCUAAUACCGCAUGCGCCCUUCGGGGGAAAGUCGGGGACCGCAAGGCCUGACGCGAUUGGAUGAGCCCAUGUUCGAUUAGCUAGUUGGCGGGGUAACGGCCCACCAAGGCGACGAUCGAUAGCUGGUCUGAGAGGAUGAUCAGCCACACUGGAACUGAGACACGGUCCAGACUCCUACGGGAGGCAGCAGUAGGGAAUAUUGGACAAUGGGCGCAAGCCUGAUCCAGCCAUCCCGCGUGAAGGAAGAAUGCGCUAUGCGUUGUAAACUUCUUUUUCAGGGGGAUAAAAUUCUGUAUGUAUACAGGACUGAAGGUACCCUGAGAAUAAGCAUCGGCUAACUCCGUG